AAACCCACCCCCUACCCCUAGGUUAAGCAAAUGAAUCAUCCACAUGAGUCUGCCACGUUUCAUCAACGGAAUGGGAAUCCGAUUUUCUUCAUUUUUCGUCUGACCCCUAUUUUAACAAGUUAAUAUUUGCAACUUGUAAACUCAAAAUUGAUGAUGUAAUAACUGAGAUUUCUGACGUCAUCGCUCUUCUUCCUCUAUAUAUACACACACCACCCAACCUACACAAAACAUCCAUCACUCUACUUUCAAACUCUCUUCUUCUUCUUCCCCUAGUCGUUAUGGCCCAUUCUGGUAAACCAGAAACAAAUGGUGCCCAAACCCGUUUACCCAUACCCGGUUUCGACCCGCCUAAAAAACCCAAGAGAAACAUGUACGCUUUGGCUUGUUCUUUCUUAGCUUCCAUGACCUCCAUUUUACUUGGAUAUGAUAUAGGAGUGAUGAGUGGAGCAAUAAUCUACAUCCAGGAAGAAUUCGGCAUAACCUCCGUCCAAAAGGAGGUGGUGAUGGGUAUUCUCAACGUCUACUCCCUCCUCGGCUCCGCCGCCGCCGGCCGUACCUCCGACUGGAUCGGCCGCCGGUACACAAUCGUACUCGCCGGAGCUAUAUUUUUCGUCGGCGCUCUGCUCAUGGGAUUCGCCACAAACUACGCAUUCCUCAUGGUCGGCCGCUUCGUCGCCGGAAUCGGCGUGGGCUACGCUCUCAUGAUUGCUCCGGUGUACACUGCUGAGGUGGCACCAGCUUCCUCCCGGGGGUUCCUCAGUUCUUUCCCUGAAGUGUUCAUCAAUUUUGGUACGCAAUGCCCGAGUCGGCCCCGAUGGCUCGUCAUGCAGGGCCGACUCGGCGAUGCCAAACGAGUCCUCGACCGAACCUCUGACUCCCUCGAAGAGUCAAACUUAGACUCGCCGAGAUCAAAGAGGCGGCCGGAAUCCCGAACACUGCGACGAAGACGUCGUCGCGGUCUCUAAGAAGAGCCAGGGUGGAGGAGUCUGGCGGGACCUACUUCUCCACCCGACCCCCGCCGUGCGCCACAUCCUGAUCUGCGCGGUGGGGAUCCACUUCUUCCAGCAGGCGAGCGGCAUUGACUCUGUGGUCCUCUACAGUCCCGAGAUCUUCGAAAAGGCCGGGAUCGCCAAGACCACCGACAAGCUGCUCGCGACGAUGGCAGUCGGAUUCACGAAGACGCUCUUCAUCUUAGUAGCCACGUUUCUGCUGGACAAGAUCGGACGGCGCCCAUUGCUCCUCUCCAGUGUGGCGGGGAUGAUCGUAUCCCUGUUGGGCCUGGCGAUCGGGCUCACUGUCAUCGAACACGCGGAGCACAAGUUAAUCUGGGCCAUCGCUCUGUGCAUCGGGUCGACCUUGUCCUACGUGUCUUUCUUCUCGAUAGGGAUGGGCCCCAUUACUUGGGUCUACAGUUCGGAGAUUUUCCCGUUGAGGCUGAGGGCACAAGGGUGCGCUAUGGGAGUGGCGCUGAAUCGGGUCACAAGUGGGGUGAUAUCAAUGACGUUCUUAUCCCUUAACAGAGCUAUAACUAUUGGAGGAGCGUUCUUUCUGUACGCAGGGGUAGCUGCCAUUGCAUUGGUGUUCUUUUACACCUUGUACCCCGAGACGCAGGGGAAGACGCUCGAGGAGAUGGAGAGUUUGUUCGGGACAUUCUCCAAGUGGAGGUCGACUUUGAGGACAUUGAAUGAAAAGAAGAGCGAAAAGAAUGGCCAAAUUCAAUUAGAGGGUGCUCGUGUGGCUAGUUAGGGUUGAGGGUAGUUUUGUAAAUUGCUUUCUUGAUGAGUUGUAUUUUCGUUUCGAACUUCAUCAAUAAUGACAAGCCAUAAAGAUUGUGGGGGGUGAGGUGGGAGAUGAGAAAGGGAUGGAGGGCGACAAGUCGAAAGUACUAUUGUAAGGUAGAAUGGAACAUGUGGUAGAAAAUCGAACAUGCGAACAUAUUCGAUGUAAGGUGCUAAAUUUGUUGAGUACUUUGGGCGGUUUUCGUAAUGGAUUGUAUGUGAAACAAGUCUAAGAUGGGAUGUAUCAAAUUCCAGCAACAAAACAUAUUUACUUUCUACAC